CGUCUCCGAUUCGAUUCGCAUCCGUCUGCCGAGUGCCGACCACACACGGAAGACCGGAAAGGGUUUCGACGUCCUGCUUGCUCCUACAACUCCAGGGAGAAGAUGCUCAAGACGCCGCCGCAGCUUGAUCCAGAGAAGCGGUGGCAGAUUUAUUGCCAGGAACCUGAUCCCGCGUGCGGUGCUAGCGGAUCCGGACAAGAUGCACCCGCUGAUCAACAGGAAAGCGACGGGAAGCGGGGCCAACACCGCUCGCCUGGUGACGAAGCGAGGCCUGAUCGGCAGCUCAAGAGGAGGAGGAAGAAGAAGAAGAAGAAUUAUAAUGCUAUGAAGAUGUUGCAAUAUUCCCUAAUCCAAUUGAGGCUACUGAGGGGUCAGUUGAUUGGUCGAGUUGAGGAUGGCGGUGUUAUAGCCCGAUUGAAGCUUAUGGACAAAAUAUGUAUGGAGUUGAGGUAUGUAUGCGAGUGGAAUGAGUACAGGUGGAAAUUUUUGUUGUGGCUCCUUAAAAGGACGAGGUUGGACUUGCAUCCGGAGUUGGUGAUGGAUUUGUCACACACGAAGGAGCUGGAAACCAAACCCACGUACGAUGCUAGCCAAUCCAGAGAAGAAGCCUCUGCUGCAGCUUCAGCUUCUGAUGGACAGGGAGACGAUAAGGAAAGGGGUGACUUGCAAGCAGUUGAGGCCUAUGGUUCUCCUCCUGGUAAGGAAAAGGUUGACUUGCAAGCAGCUAAGGACUCUUCUCCCACUGCUGAGAAGGGAAAGGGCAAGCAUAUUGGAUAUGAAGCACAGCAGAAGAAAAACAGCAUUGAAGAUGUUAAAUCCUCAAGUCAACAAGAAAUUAGCAAGCCGAAGAAGAAGAAGAAACAGAAGAAGAGGCAGAGGCGCAAGAUGGACGAAUCCACAGAAAAUCUAUCAUGCCACAGUGGUAGCCCAUCCUCUUCUCAUGAUGGAACAAGCACAUCAACAAUAGAGGGGGAGCCAAAACCAUCUUCUGGGGACCUUGCCAAGAUUUCACGAGAACACAAACAAGAACAAGAAUCAAUGGAGGAUUUAGAAGAUCUCCUUGGCAUGGAUGAGGAUACCAUCUCAAACAAAGUCAGUUACUACUUUCAUCAGUUAUAUGUUCAGGACCAUCUUGAUGAUGAUGAUGAUGAUGAUUGGCUUGAAUGCGAUGGGCCACAGCAGCUCACUGAGUUGCACGAGCAGCUGGCCUUCUACCGCAUCAUAGGUUAUGAGUUAUCAAAUGGUAGAAAGCUUGACGAACUGGAUAUUGCAAAACUGAAAGAGAAGUACCCUCCCUCCAUUCUUUAUGAGAAGGGGUACUUUCAGUACUAUGAGGAUAGUCUUGAAUGGUACUUUGAUCCUGAACGAUUCCAGCCUGCUGCCCUUGAUAACUACCAGCGUCUAGUGCUUUGUGAUAAUGGUUUGUACAUGGACUGGGAUCAAUACCACUCAAAUUAUAGUACCUAUGAGAGUGAUCUAGCAUAUGUCAAAUUCUGUGAAGAGCUAGCACAUAAGACUAAGUGGUUUCAAGAUUAUUUGGUACUCAUUGCUGUUGAGGAUAAGAUAACCAUGGGUCAGUGGGACAAAGUUAAAAAUACAGUUUACCUUCAAGCAAUGAAGAUCGCACUACGCAUUCGUGUUGUUUCUCUAAUGCAAGUUAUGACUGCUUUCCAGGAAUAUAUAUGGAGCAUGCGGUUUGAUUGUUGUAACUACAAAGAUUUUGAUGGUGUGUAUUUUGAGGUUUGGAAGCGGGUUGCUAAGCAGAAGAUGGAAUUCACUGAUGCCCUGUCAGAACUUUAUAGAGAAGAUAUGUUUCCCUUGCGCAAUGUUGAUAUUAAGGAUGAGCUUCGCAGUACUCGAGGGAGAUUCCGUUCGAUGAAGGAAAAUUACGAUCUCUACGUGGCUUGCAUUGAUGAAACGGUGCCAGAAAAAGAAGCUCGUCAAUUGAUCAAAGAUGCCAUUAUAGAAAUGAUUCCAAAACCACAGACUUAUUUGGAUUACGCCAGAAACAAGAUAAAAAUCGCAGAAGAUAUCGGUUUGAUUACCAAAAGCAGAGGACCAGAGCCAAGAACCUAGAAGGUCACUGCACAACACAUCCCAGGGGAGACAAUAGCGAGGCAAUGCAUGCCAUGGACAACAAAGCAAAUGGCGGCUGAAAUCUUUUUGAGUAUAUUAUUAGUAAUAAGAAAGGAUAUUGGCGCUACGGUUUAUUAUCAAAUUUCUUAUUUAUUAUCUUCUGUUGAGAUAU
rnacentral:lncRNA from 1 species